rnacentral:rRNA from 1 species
GUCCGCACAGUAAACGAUGAAUACUAGCUGUUAGCGAUAUACCGUUAGUGGCACAGCGAAAGCGUUAAGUAUUCCACCUGGGGAGUACGCCGGCAACGGUGAAACUCAAAGGAAUUGACGGGGGCCCCGCACAAGCGGAGGAACAUGUGGUUUAAUUCGAUGAUACGCGAGGAACCUUACCCGGGCUUGAAUUGCAUUUGAAUAUAGUGGAAACAUUAUAGCCAGCAAUGGCAAAUGUGAAGGUGCUGCAUGGUUGUCGU